GUCACCAGGACAACGGGCGUCGCCGGCGCCGUGUGACUUCGGGCUGUGGGCUCGCUCGCGGCUCUUCGGCCAUGGUUUUCUCAAACAAUGAUGAAGGCCUUAUUAACAAAAAGUUACCCAAAGAACUUCUGUUAAGGUAAAUGUAGAUAAAUUCUGGAUGAAGAGUUUAGAUCUGAUUUAGUCAUCAAGUUCCAAGACUAUCUUCUUUCUCACUCACUCCAUGGGCUUUUUAAAGGACUGCUGCCUCUAUUUCCUGCUGUCUGUGGUGCCUGCUGCCUUAUAUACCAGGGCAUCCUAACAGAAUAUUUUCCUUCUUGGAUAUAGUAACUUUGUGCCGAUGUGCACAGAUUUCCAAGGCUUGGAACAUCUUAGCCCUGGAUGGAAGCAACUGGCAAAGAAUAGAUCUUUUUAACUUUCAAACAGAUGUAGAGGGUCGAGUGGUGGAAAAUAUCUCGAAGCGAUGCGGUGGAUUCCUGAGGAAGCUCAGCUUGCGAGGCUGCAUUGGUGUUGGGGAUUCCUCCUUGAAGACCUUUGCACAGAACUGCCGAAACAUUGAACAUUUGAACCUCAAUGGAUGCACAAAAAUCACUGACAGCACGUGUUAUAGCCUUAGCAGAUUCUGUUCCAAGCUGAAACAUCUGGAUCUGACCUCCUGUGUGUCUAUUACAAACAGCUCCUUGAAGGGGAUCAGUGAGGGCUGCCGAAACCUGGAGUACCUGAACCUCUCUUGGUGUGAUCAGAUCACGAAGGAUGGCAUCGAGGCACUGGUGCGAGGUUGUCGAGGCCUGAAAGCCCUGCUCCUGAGGGGCUGCACACAGUUAGAAGAUGAAGCUCUGAAACACAUUCAGAAUUACUGCCAUGAGCUUGUGAGCCUCAACUUGCAGUCCUGCUCACGUAUCACGGAUGAAGGUGUGGUGCAGAUAUGCAGGGGCUGUCACCGGCUACAGGCUCUCUGCCUUUCGGGUUGCAGCAACCUCACAGAUGCCUCUCUUACAGCCCUGGGUUUGAACUGUCCGCGACUGCAAAUUUUGGAGGCUGCCCGAUGCUCCCAUUUGACUGACGCAGGUUUUACACUUUUAGCUCGGAAUUGCCACGAAUUGGAGAAGAUGGAUCUUGAAGAAUGCAUCCUGAUAACCGACAGCACACUCAUCCAGCUCUCCAUUCACUGUCCUAAACUGCAAGCCCUGGUGAGUCUGAGUUUUUCUGACAUUAUUCACCUGUUAAAGAUGAAAGAGCCCUCCCACCACAACAAGAAGCUGUUUGGGUUCUCUUUCUGUAAGAGCCUGUCCCACUGUGAACUCAUCACAGAUGAUGGGAUCCUGCACCUGAGCAACAGUACCUGUGGCCAUGAGAGGCUGCGGGUACUGGAGUUGGACAACUGCCUCCUCAUCACUGAUGUGGCCCUGGAACACCUAGAGAACUGCCGAGGCCUGGAGCGCCUCGAGCUGUACGACUGCCAGCAGGUUACCCGUGCAGGCAUCAAGCGGAUGCGGGCUCAGCUCCCUCAUGUCAAAGUCCACGCCUACUUUGCUCCCGUCACCCCACCGACAGCAGUGGCAGGAAGUGGACAGCGACUGUGCAGGUGCUGUGUCAUUCUCUGACAGCAGCUGCCUGGGCCCAAGGGGUGAUGAGGCAUCCUUUCCUCUAGAAGACCUGAGUCUUCCUGACCGACUCCACCAUCACCCAAUCUGUUGAUUCUCCAUUGGGAAAGGCAUUUACAGGUAAAAGACUUCUGUAUGGAUUGCAGUUACUCUGGUGAUAGUUUUCACCUUUAUUCUGCUGUGAAACAAUCAAAUCAAAGCCUUGUGUCAGUUAACACAUGACAAGUGGUCUCAAUGCAGCUAGGACCAUGCCAGAAACCUGGAUCUCUUAAGAGAUUGGUACCUACCUAGGUACGAAAGUUCUACCCUUGGCAUACUCAGCAUUCCUCAAAAAGACCAUCAGUGUUAGCACAAACUGAGCAGAAAAAAUAAGCUGUUGAUUUUCUACCUGAUACUUAAGCCAGUGGCCUACUUUAAUUCACAAUUCCAUUUUGAUUAGCAGGACUUUUCCACUUUGAAGAUAAAUAGCAACUUUAUCAAAGUGACUGUACUGCAAAUUAAUUCAUAAUGCCUGAUAGUUUUAUAUAUAGAGACUUAUGUGGAAGGCAUGUUAAUAGGUUUCCAUGAGACACCAAAGAAAAGAGGACUCUAUACUGGGUGGAGCAGGGUCUUCACCUUUUUGUUUCUGUCAACUUGUCAUAUACACCUCCAGGGACCAAAAACAAAAGCAGCUCGGAGUCUGUGUUGCCUGAUUGGAAAGUAGAAGCUCUGGUGUAUGCUACAGCACAUAACACAUUUUUACUAAAGGAAAAAAGCUAAUUAUGUCCAUGCCUCUCGUAAAACUGGGGGGAACCUUAAAGAGAAAGAACUAAGGCUUAAGUUAUCUGUAGUAUAAUCAAUUAGAAGUAAUGAAUGGAUGCAUGUAAAAUGGAUGUGAUUUUUUUUCAAGCUUAUUUUGAAAUCUUAAAAAUCAGGUUACACCAUAGCUACUCAAAAGUUUUACACACUUAAAACUCAGAUCAGUAAGUGUUGGUACCUUUUAGACUCAUAAAAUUGAAUAAACCAUUGCAAUGCUUUAAAAAAAAUUAAGUCAGAGGGUUUUAUUGCUAUGAUUUUAUGGCAGACACAUCCAAGCAAAACCAUUUUCCAAAUGCAGACCUUCCUGAUGUUAUCUGAAAUCUGAUAAAAUGACCCUACUCUCUGCUGUGGUUCAUUCUUGCUCCAUGCUGUCCAUAUUUAUGAUCUUUAUUAAGAACCUGUCAAUCAGUCAUCACCACCUUCAUUGUAAACUUAGGUGUUCAUGGUGGCUGGCCCUUCCAAACAACCACUCCCCCAAACUGAAGGGCCAGAGCUCAUGAGAAACUUAAAAGUGAAACGGCAAAAGCAAGAUGUGUUCCCAUGACUACCAAUACCUUUAUUAGGCAGUUUUAGAAGUGUUUUUAAGGAUAUAUUAUGUCAGCUGCAUUCUAGGAAGAGAAGCAGAUUAUAUAUAUAUAUAAUCUCCCCAUAAACGGACUUAGCACAAUUAUCAUCAGAGUAAGCAUUAAAGUCAUUUUAUUGCCUUAUGAUAUAUUCCAGUAUUCCUUGGUCUAAAAAUUGUGUGGAUACCAUAGCAGUUAGUUAAAUAUACAUUUAUACCCACUGUUUGUUGUGGAAGAGAUGAUGGGGGAGGAGGACUGAUGCAGGAAGCAACUUCAAUAAAUGAGCAUAUAACAGACUUGCUUCAGUGAUUAUGAAUUAGUUUAGUUUCUAUUAAAAAAAAUUAACUUAAGGCUGGCCACGGUGGUUCAUGCCUAUAAUCCCAGCACUUGGGGAGGCCAAGGCGGGUGGAUCACCUGAGGUCAGGAGUUUGAGACCAGCCUGGCCAACACAGUAAAACCCCAUCUCUACUGAAAAUACAAAAAUUAGCCGGGCGUGGUGCUGGGCACCUGUAAUCUCAGCUACUCGGGAGGCUGAAGCAGGAGAAAUGCUGGAACCCAGGAGGCGGAGGUGGCAGUGAGCCGAGAUUGUGCCAUUGCACUCCAUCCAGCCCAGGAGACAACAGUGAGACUCCAUCAUCAUCUCAAAACAAAACAAACAAACAAACAAAACAAACCACCAGAGCCUUCUAUACAUGAUUGAUUUCUUUUGAGCCAGGAUACAACCUAUCAUCAGUCACAGCUAUUGGACUUGAUGCUCAAUGAUCCAUGGCCUCAUUUACAAAACAGGAGAACCUCUUGUAAGAAAAUCAGGUUUGCAGGCUGGGCACGGUGGCUCACGCCUGUAAUCCCAGCACUUUGGGAGGCAGAGGCGGGCGGAUCGUGAGAUCAGGAGAUCAAGACCAUCCUGGCUAACACAGUGAAACCCCGUCUCUACUAAAAAUACAAAAAAAAUUAGCCGGGCAUAGUGGCGGGUGCCUGUAGUCCCAGCUACUCAGGAGACUGAGGCAGAAGAAUGGCGUGAACCCGGGAGGCAGAGCUUGCAGUGAGCCGAGAUUGCGCCACUGCACUCCAGCCUGGGUGACAGAGCCAGACUCCGUCUCAAAAAAAAAAAAAAAAAAGAAAA